UACGUAGGGGGCAAGCGUUGUCCGGAAUCAUUGGGCGUAAAGAGCGUGUAGGCGGCCCGAUAAGUCCGCUGUGAAAGUCCAGGGCUCAACCCUGGAAUGCCGGUGGAUACUGUCGGGCUCGAGUCCGGAAGAGGUGAGUGGAAUUCCUGGUGUAGCGGUGAAAUGCGCAGAUAUCAGGAAGAACACCAAUGGCGAAAGCAGCUCUCUGGGACGGUACUGACGCUGAGACGCGAAAGCGUGGGGAGCGAACAGG
rnacentral:rRNA from 1 species